GGAGUUUGGGCCGUGUCUCAGUCCCAAUGUGGCCGGUCACCCUCUCAGGUCGGCUAUGGAUCGUCGGUUUGGUGGGCCGUUACCCCCGCCAACUGCCUAAUCCAACGCGGGGCCAUCCCAUACCACCGGAGUUUUUCACACAGAGCGAUGCCGCUCCGUGCGCUUAUGCGGUAUUAGCAGUCGUUUCCAACUGUUGU
rnacentral:rRNA from 1 species